AGUAACUUGCUAAAACUUAAAAUGAAUUAAUUAAUUUGGUUUCUUUGAUAGUACACCCAGAGAAAAGUCUCAGAAAGCUAUCCAAGAUGAAAUCCGUUCAGUGAUCAGACAGAUCACAGCUACGGUGACAUUUCUGCCACUGUUGGAAGUUUCUUGUUCAUUUGAUCUACUGAUUUAUACAGACAAAGAUUUGGUUGUACCUGAAAAAUGGGAAGAGUCGGGACCGCAGUUUAUUACCAAUUCUGAGGAAGUCCGUCUUCGUUCGUUUACUACUACGAUCCACAAA